ACUUGAAUAGCUUAUUUUAGAGCACGACACUGAAGAUGUCGACGAGGUAUCUAUACCUUUGAGUA
rnacentral:tRNA from 1 species